ensembl:lncRNA
CAUUCUUGCCAUCUCUUAACCACUUUGAAUAAUUCAGCAAAUGAGACGCCAAUCACCCUGGUCGCCAUAGUAACGGGGGGCGGGAGCAGCUGUCGGUGGUGACGUGCCAGAGCCGGUGGAGCUCUGAGGUUGUGUGUGCACAGACGCCAACGUGUGCACGGCGCAGGUCCGUCUGAGAUAAGCGUGCCGGAGAGCCGAGUUGGAUGUUGAUGUAAACUACAUUAAACAUCUUCCCUAUCGACAGCUGGGUGAACCAGAAUGCUGGAGUGAACCCUGUUACAUCACCACGCACCCGGGCCAAUUAAACCAAGCACCUCACUAACCUUGUGAUAUACUCAGCGUUGCUGUGGAGACCAAUACCAUGGCGACAGAGGGGGGUGACAAGGCGGAGACGAAGAAGAAGUUGACGGGCCCGGCCAGAAUACUCCGGCUCGGGAUGACCAGGAAGGGUUCCGAGAGCCGAGCCAAUAGAAGACACGGCAUCUGAAGGUGGAGUUGGAGAGGGGGGAGGAGUCUCCGGCAUGCAAGAAGAGGUCCGAGAAGAAGCAGAAGUGUGCUCCGGUGUCGACGUCCCGACCACCAGGGGGAGCUGUUCUCAGAAGGAGGAGGUGACGGAGGAGGCGGGCAGGGGUACGAGGAAGACCCAGAAGGGGGUGUGGAGGAGGGUGUUCCUCACCUGCCUCAGGAGACGACGGCGGCCGCGCCCGGAGGGCAGCACCCCCGGGUGCCCCGCGGAGCAGAUGGGUCCGUCCAGCGAGGGCGCGAAGAGGAAGAGACGCUUCCCCGGGCUGACACUUUUGCGCCGCCUCCUGCCCUCCAGCAGGGGGCGGGACGGGGGGGCGGGGCCCCGUUGUGCCGCGGAGGACGAGCGCGAAACACGCCAACCACUUCACAGCAGCCCAGGCGCCGCGGGGCGGCCAGGCAACACCCAGGAGGGGACCGACUGCGGACGGGACAACCCCCAGCGGGUCGCCCUGGAGAACAACAAUGACAAAGACGUCCCGUGGUUGUCCGAAGCAGCCCUGGACGAGGCGAGGCACGUUCUAAAGCAUCGCUCGGACCUCGACGACGUCGCCAUGGAGAUGAGUGUGCAGGAGCCCGAGGCCGCGACUGAAUCCCAGCUGGGAUGUUUUGAACCGGCAUCAGAGGUGGACCCCCAGCUGCCGGACCCCGAGGCCCCGGAGCAGAGACUGACGGACGGGUCACCUGACCCAGCAGAGAACCACCUCCCACCACCCUCCACAGCCCAUAAUGACCUGAACAACACCGCCGUGGAAACCACUGACCAGCUUCUCGACGACAAGGCCAGUCCCUCAGAUGGCACUUCUGCAGAAGAAGAAGAGGCGAUGACCCCUGCACUGUUCAAUGGCCUCCAUCGUGUUGGGGAUGGUGUUGCUAUGGUUACUGAGGACCACCCUGCUGCCCGAGCUCCCUUCCCUGUGAACGCGGUCCUCGUGGUGCCGCUGAUACGCCUCAACAGCGGCGAGGAAGAUGGCGCGUGCGAUUGGGAAGGCGGUGCGUGCCUCUGGGAAGCGCCCGCGCCGGAGGACGAGUCGCCGCUGGAGGUCGGCGUGGAGGUGGAGGUGGACUGGGAGGUCAAGGGUGGAGGAGGGGGGGAUGCUGACGGGCUGGUGCUGGCCGCUCAGGCGGUGGUGCAGGCCGCCCUGUUGGCUGCCGUCCAGCAGCUGUUGAGGGAACAGCAGAACUCUGUGGACCACGUGCACCCCCAUCACGCCCACCACCUGUCCCCCGCCCCUUACUGACCCUUAGUCCCUAACGUCUAACAUUAAGUCCCUAACGUCUAACCCUUUGUCCCUGACGUCUAACCCUUAGUCCCUAACAUCUAACCCUUAGUCCCUAACAUCUAACCCUUAGUCCCUAACGUCUAACCCUUAGUCCCUAACAUCUAACCCUUUGUCCCUGACGUCUAACCCUUAGUCCCUAACAUCUAGCAUUAAGUCCCUAACAUCUAACCCAUAGUUCCUAACAUCUAACCCUUAGUUCCUAACGUCUAACCCUUAGUCCCUAACAUCUAACCCUUAGUCCCUAACGUCUAACCCUUUGUCCCUGACGUCUAACCCUUAGUCCCUAACAUCUAACAUUAAGUCCCUAACAUCUAACCCUUAGUCCCUAACAUCUAACCCUUAGUUCCUAACAUCUAACCCUUAGUUCCUAACGUCUAACCCUUAGUCCCUAACAUCUAACCCUUAGUCUCUAACAUCUAACCCUUAGUCCCUAACGUCUAACCCUUAGUCCCUACCAUCUAACUGUUAGUCCCUACCACUUAACACUUAAUUCCUACCAACACUUAGUCCCUAACAUUUAACCCAUAGCCGUUAACAUCUAGCCCCUCACCCUAAUCACUCAUCCCCAUGCCCUUAAUCACUUUAUCUAACCCUAAGUCCAUAACCUCUAACCCUUAAUCUGAACCAUCUAACACAUAGUCCCUAACAUCUAACCCAUAGUUCCUACCAUCUAACACUUAGUCCCUAACAUCUAACACUUAGGCUUUAACAUCCAUCCCCAUCCCCUUAAUCCCUCAAAUCAAACCCCUAGUCCCUCAAAUCUAACCCUUGGUCCCUGGCAUAUAACCCUUAUUUCCUAACAAUUAAACCUAAGUCCCAAACAGCUUACCCCUCACCCCAUCACCUGUCCCUCAACCCUUAAAGCCAGGGAAGGCAAUUUGGAGAAACCAGCAAGAGCACGAUUUUAAGUAUACAAACGAUAAAAUCCCAGUCCUCCUUUAACUCCCCAAUAACAAGUGACCAGCUGGCUAGGUUUAAAAAUAGUUCUGCAUAGCAUUGUGGGAGACUCCGCUCAUGUGCAAUGAGUGCACAGGCAGCGUGCGGCAGGUAGCCCGGAAGGUGAGUUUCCUUUUUAUAAUAGAAAAGUUUCAUUAUUAGGGUGUUUGAGUGUUUGAUUUAUUGAUUGCUGACGCGGUGGAAAGAGAAUUUCAGCAAAAAUAAAUUGCCUACCCUACCUUAAAUUCAUGACAUCUAACCCUUAACCCUCAACCCCAAAACCUUUGCCACCGGUAUCUAAUCCUCAUCACCUAACCCUCUUCCUAACUCUUUUCAUCUAUAUAGACAAUGUUAAUAAUUAACAUGAAGUCUUUAUUUAUAAACCGGCCAAAUCCUUGAAUCUCCUACUCCAUCUUGCUCCAUCACCUAUCCCAGCCACCAUUUAACUCCUAACUGAUGAAAAACACUCAACAGAGAAACUAUGUUUUUUUAAUGAUCACAGUCACACAGACACACACAGACACACAACUACACGUCACAGUUCUUUAUUAGUGUAUUUACAGAUAUGUUUGUGUCUGUCUUCAGUGAUUAGCAGGGCCAGGGCAACCGCGGUUUUAGUGUACAAAUGUCUUGUAAAUUAACAUUUAAUUGAUUCUCCUAAAUGCAAUAGUUAUAUUGUUUAAAUGCUUUGCUCUUUUCUGAUCUAACAGGGUGGGGGCUACUGCUUGUGUUGUGAAAGGAUGGCUGAAGGGUUGGACCAUUGAAGCAUUCAGUCAGGGAUUUGUGUCCCUACUUGUUUGAUUUUUGCAGAAAAAGGAGUGUAUAUUGCAGGCCACAAGGUUCAUUACGAAGUGUUAAGCAGUACUCUGUUAUUUUAGAAAAGCGUGACACCUCAAAUAUAAGCAACACUUAACACUGGUUAAGAGAGAAAACGAUUUUUCACAUGCAAAAUGCCGCGGCUGCUAUUUGAUUCCAAGUGUGUAGGAAGCAUUUCUAUUUUGUCCAGCCUUGAAAUAAAAAAGGCAGUUUAAAAUCAAAUAAUAAAGUGGUUACAUGAUAACAUACAUUGUAUAGUUAGGCUGAAGGAAAUAUUUUUUGUGAACUAAAGCAUUUAAAAGUGAGCCAUGUGGCUCACCUUUAAAUGCUACUGGCUGCGCUAACUAGCAUUCUAGAACAACAUCACCAGCUAGUGUAGCACCACUCUGCUAAGUGACACAACAGACAUAUCAUAUAGUUAUAGGUCAGAGAGAGAGAGAGAGAGAGAGAGAGAGAGAGAGAGAGAGAGAGAGAGAGAGAGAGAGAGAGAGAGAGAGAGAGAGAGAGAGAGAGAGAGAGAGAGAGAGAGAGAGAGAGAGAGAGAGAGAGAGAGAGAGAGAGAGAGAGAGAGAGAG